AUUGAACGCUGGCGGCAUGCCUUACACAUGCAAGUCGAACGGCAGCACGGGUGCUUGCACCUGGUGGCGAGUGGCGAACGGGUGAGUAAUACAUCGGAACGUACCUUAUCGUGGGGGAUAACGCAGCGAAAGCUGUGCUAAUACCGCAUACGCCCUGAGGGGGAAAGCGGGGGAUCGAAAGACCUCGCGCGAUUAGAGCGGCCGAUGCCUGAUUAGCUUGUUGGUUGGGUAAAAGCCCACCAAGGCGACGAUCAGUAGCUGGUCUGAGAGGACGCUCAGCCACAAUGGGACUGAGACACGGCCCAGACUCCUACGGGAGGCAGCAGUGGGGAAUUUUGGACAAUGGGGGCAACCCUGAUCCAGCAAUGCCGCGUGAGUGAAGAAGGCCUUCGGGUUGUAAAGCUCUUUUGUCAGGGAAGAAACACCGGCUCUAACACAGUCCGGGAAUGACGGUACCUGAAGAAUAAGCACCGGCUAACUACGUGCCAGCAGCCGCAGUAA
rnacentral:rRNA from 1 species